CGCGUAGGCGGUCUUGCAAGUCCCGUGUGAAAUCCCUCGGCUCAACUGAGGAACUGCACGGGAAACUGCUUGGCUUGAGUUCGGGAGAGGGAAGCGGAAUUCCGGGUGUAGCGGUGAAAUGCGUAGAUAUCCGGAGGAACACCGGUGGCGAAGGCGGCUUCCUGGACCGACACUGACGCUGAGGCGCGAAAGCUAGGGGAGCAAACGGGAUUAGAUACCCCGGUAGUCCUAGCUGUAAACGAUGAGUGCUGGGUGUAGAGGGUAUUAACCCCUUCUGUGCCGAAGCUAACGCAUUAAGCACUCCGCCUGGGGAGUACGGUCGCAAGGCUGAA
rnacentral:rRNA from 1 species